ACAUAUUGUCACAUUGAAUCUCCCAAUCCACCCUCUAAGGAAAAGACUCCUAAUUAUCUGUUUUGGUGAUGAAGACACCAAAACCCAGAGCAGUAUAUCUGGAGGAAAGAAUCCAGCCCCAACCCAAUUUCGAUUUCACACCACACUCCAGAGUGAAAGGAUGCGGGGCCCAGUCACAGGUCAACCAGGACGGUCAGCUCUCAGCUGGCAUUUCACAGCUUCCCAGCGGUGGUGGCAAGACUGCCUUCAAUUGCACACUUGCACGGAUGCAUGGCCCAGGUGGCCAGACAGAGUUGUUUUAACACAUGCUGAAAUCAAAAAGCUCCUUGCAGGUUUCUGCCCAUGUGGGAGAUGUCCACCGCACAAGUCCGGUGGGAACAGUGCCCGGAGGAGGAGACGCUGAGGAGCGGGCCUCGGGGCUCAGGCUGCAUUCCUAUUCUCACAGCGAACUCCCCGGGAGCCCUUGCUAUUAGCUUUCCCAGACCUUAGUCCUCAAUUCUAACUUGCACAUUUUACAGAGGAAAAGAAAUCUUCUACAUGGUAGAGGCAUUCUCAGCAGCUUGAGG